rnacentral:rRNA from 1 species
UACGUAGGGACCAAGCGUUGUUCGGAUUUACUGGGCGUAAAGGGCGCGUAGGCGGCGUGACAAGUCACUUGUGAAAUCUCCGGGCUUAACUCGGAACGGUCAAGUGAUACUGUUGUGCUAGAGUACAGAAGGGGCAAUCGGAAUUCUUGGUGUAGCGGUGAAAUGCGUAGAUAUCAAGAGGAACACCAGAGGCGAAGGCGGAUUGCUGGGCUGAUACUGACGCUGAGGCGCGAAAGCUAGGGUAGCAAACGGGG